CUCCCCACAGCUGUGAUAGCUCUUGUGCCCGCUUGUUCCCUGCCCUGCACCCAGCCCCUGCCUUGCCUCACUGAUUCUUCAAACCUUCUGAGUCUGAGAACUCUUUGGGGAAAAGAGUCUAGCUGGAAGAGAAGCUGGCUAAGACCCUACUGCUGGCCUAAAUUACAAUCCAGCUCCAGGGAGGAGAACUGGGACCUCUUGUUUUAAGAGGAAGUGACUAUUUAGCAUGAAACCCAAGCACAGGAAGGGGCAAGAGAGCCAAUGAGGACUCAGAGUGGGCGUGACUGAUGAAGUGGACUACAUUUUGUACAAAGGCUCAUCCAAUCAGCCCCACAAAGAGGGUACAUGUUCUGAACCAACCUAAGAUGGGUAAUUGAUUGAAAGAACUUGAGGAGCUGCUGCAUGCAAUGCACCUCUAGAACCAAGAGUGCCCACAAGGGGGUGUGCUGGCAUGCAGUGCCCUAUGACAGUCUGGAUAUAAAAAGCUGGCAUCAUCCCCUACUCCAUACAGAAUGGGAAAUGAGCUGGAUGUUUGGUUUUCAGAACCUACAAAACAGUCUGGUGCAGAGGCCCUAAGAAAAACUUGCAAUUCUAAGGUGAGCUACACCGAUGAUCUGUCUCUCCAUGGCAUUUCUUUCAAGUGCCAUAUACAGUACCCACCCUUCUGAGUGCAGCCCUAUAAUUCACCCCACCUUUUGCUUGAUCAUCAGAUUAGAGCACCCUAUUUCCCAACUGUAUUACAGAAGGUCCAACUGGGUCUGCCACCUUCUAUCGAGUCCUCU